CAUGCUAGACGAGUUUCAUCAUGGCUCAGAACGAACGCUGGCGGCGCGCCUAACACAUGCAAGUCGAACGAGAAUCCGGGGCAACCCGGUAGUAAAGUGGCAAACGGGUGAGGAAUACAUGGGUAACCUACCCUUGAGAAGGGAAUAACCCGCCGAAAGGUGAGCUAAUACCCUAUACGCUAUCUUUUUUUUCGAAAAGGAUAGGAAAGCCGGGUCGAGGACCUGGUACUCAAGGAGGGGCUCAUGUCCUAUCAGCUUGUUGGUGGGGUAACGGCCUACCAAGGCUACGACGGGUAGCUGGUCUGAGAGGAUGAUCAGCCACACUGGCACUGAGAUACGGGCCAGACUCCUACGGGAGGCAGCAGUGAGGAUAUUGCGCAAUGGGCGAAAGCCUGACGCAGCGACGCCGCGUGGGGGAUGAAGGUUUUCGGAUUGUAAACCCCUUUCAUGAGGAAAGAUAAAGUGGGUAACCACUUAGACGGUACCUCAGAAGAAGCCACGGCUAACUUCGUG
rnacentral:rRNA from 1 species